GAGGAUGAUGAUUUCAUAUUUGUCGCCCCAGUCUUAGGGUCCGCUUUGGUGUACCUGUGCUGAUUGACUUUUGAAUCUGACUC
rfam:Triticum aestivum genome assembly, contig: Triticum_aestivum_CS42_TGACv1_scaffold_094445_2AL